rnacentral:rRNA from 1 species
UCGAACGUGAAGCCACCUUCGGGUGGUGGAAAGUGGCAGACGGGUGAGUAACGCGUGGGAACGUGCCCUUCGGUUCGGGAUAACCCAGGGAAACUUGGGCUAACACCGGAUACGCCCUUCGGGGGAAAAAUUUAUUGCCGAAGGAUCGGCCCGCGUCGGAUUAGCUUGUUGGUGGGGUAAAAGCCUACCAAGGCGACGAUCCGUAGCUGGUCUGAGAGGAUGAUCAGCCACACUGGGACUGAGACACGGCCCAGACUCCUACGGGAGGCAGCAGUGGGGAAUAUUGGACAAUGGGCGCAAGCCUGAUCCAGCCAUGCCGCGUGGGUGAAGAAGGCCUUAGGGUUGUAAAUCCCUUUCAGCGGGGAAGAUAAUGACGGUACCCGCAGAAGAAGCCCCGGCUAACUCCGUGCCAGCAGCCGCGGUAAUACGGAGGGGGCUAGCGUUGUUCGGAAUUACUGGGCGUAAAGCGCGCGUAGGCGGACCUGCAAGUCGGGGGUGAAAGCCCGAGGCUCAACCUCGGAACUGCCUUCGAUACUGCGGGUCUUGAGUCCGGGAGAGGUGAGUGGAAUUCCUAGUGUAGAGGUGAAAUUCGUAGAUAUUAGGAAGAACACCAG